rnacentral:rRNA from 1 species
AGUGAACGCUGGCGGUAGGCCUAACACAUGCAAGUCGAACGGCAGCACAGUAAGAGCUUGCUCUUACGGGUGGCGAGUGGCGGACGGGUGAGGAAUACAUCGGAAUCUACUUUUUCGUGGGGGAUAACGUAGGGAAACUUACGCUAAUACCGCAUACGACCUACGGGUGAAAGCAGGGGAUCUUCGGACCUUACGCGAUUGAAUGAGCCGAUGUCGGAUUAGCUAGUUGGCGGGGUAAAGGCCCACCAAGGCGACGAUCCGUAGCUGGUCUGAGAGGAUGAUCAGCCACACUGGAACUGAGACACGGUCCAGACUCCUACGAGAGGCAGCAGUGGGGAAUAUUGGACAAUGGGCGCAAGCCUGAUCCAGCCAUACCGCGUGGGUGAAGAAGGCCUUCGGGUUGUAAAGCCCUUUUGUUGGGAAAGAAAAGCAGCAGGUUAAUACCCCGCUGUUCUGACGGUACCCAAAGAAUAAGCACCGGCUAACUUCGUG